AGCUUUGUGCAGUGGCAGUAUCACAGCCAAUAAGGCUUAUCCAAGGCACAAUUAUUGCCAAUUACAAUAUGAUGGAGUCUUUGUCUUUCCAGUAUGGGAUAUUUUACAGUAUUUUGAAAU
rnacentral:snRNA from 1 species